rnacentral:rRNA from 1 species
ACGGAAGGCAGCAGUGAGGAAUAUUGGUCAAUGGGCGAGAGCCUGAACCAGCCAAGUAGCGUGAGGGACGACGGCCCUACGGGUUGUAAACCUCUUUUGUUCGGGAAUAAAGGGUCCCACGUGUGGGAUUUUGCAUGUACCGUUCGAAUAAGCAUCGGCUAAUUCCGUGCCAGCAGCCGCGGUAAUACGGAAGAUGCGAGCGUUAUCCGGAUUUAUUGGGUUUAAAGGGAGCGUAGGCGGUCCUUUAAGUCAGCGGUCAAAUGUCGGGGCCCAACCCCGGCCUGCCGUUGAUACUGGAGGACUUGAAUACACACAAGGAAGGUGGAAUUCGUCGUGUAGCGGUGAAAUGCUUAGAUAUGACGAAGAACUCCGAUUGCGAAGGCAGCCUUCUGGAGUGCGAUUGACGCUGAGGCUCGAAAGCGCGGGUAUCAAACAGGAUUAGAUACCCUGGUA